rnacentral:rRNA from 1 species
CCCUUAGAUGUUCUGGGCCGCACGCGCGCUACACUGAUGCAUUCAACGAGUCUAAAACCUGCUCUGAUAGGGGUGGGUAAUCUUUUGAAUGUGCAUCGUGAUUGGGAUAGAUGAUUGAAAUUUUUCAUCUUCAACGAGGAAUGCCUAGUAAACGCAAGUCAUCAGCUUGCAUUGAUUACGUCCCUGCCCUUUGUACACACCGCCCGUCGCUCCUACCGAUUGAAUGAUCCGAUGAAUAUCAUGGAUUGAGGAUGCAAGUAGGUUCACCUAUCUUCAUCUUCGAGAAGUGAAGUAAAUCUUAUCAUUUAGAGGAAGGAGAAGGCGUAACA